rnacentral:rRNA from 1 species
AUUGAACGCUGGCGGCACGCCUAACACAUGCAAGUCGAGCGGCAGCGAGACUAGUAGCAAUACUAGUUGUCGGCGAGCGGCGGACGGGCGAGUAACACGUAGGAAUCUGCCCUUAAGCGGGGGAUAACCAAGGGAAACUUUGGCUAAUACCGCAUAAUCUCGAGAGAGCAAAGCUGCCCGCAAGGGUGGCACUUGAGGAGGAGCCUGCGUCCGAUUAGCUAGUUGGUGGGGUAAUGGCCUACCAAGGCGAUGAUCGGUAAAGGGUCUGAGAGGACGACCAGUCACACUGGGACUGAGACACGGCCCAGACUCCUACGGGAGGCAGCAGUGGGGAAUAUUGGACAAUGGGGGCAACCCUGAUCCAGCGAUGCCGCGUGAGUGAAGAAGACCUUCGGGUCGUAAAGCUCUUUAGGUUGGGAAGAAGUGUAUUGGCUGAAUAAUCCAGUACAUUGACGGUACCGACAGAAUAAGCACCGGCAAACUCUGUGCCAGCAGCCGCCGUAAGAC